rnacentral:rRNA from 1 species
AUACGGAGGAUGCAAGCGUUAUCCGGAUUUAUUGGGUUUAAAGGGUGCGUAGGCGGUUUGCUAAGCGGGAGGUGAAAUGCCGGCGCUCAACGUCGGAAGUGCCUCCCGAACUGGUGGACUGGAAUGACUCUGCCGUGGGAGGAAUGUGUAGUGUAGCGGUGAAAUGCUUAGAGAUUACACAGAACACCGAUUGCGAAGGCAUCUCACGAAGGGUUGAUUGACGCUGAGGCACGAAAGCGUGGGGAUCAAACAGGAUUAGAUACCCUGGUAGUCCACGCAGUAAACGAUGAUGGCUAACCGCUGGGCUUAUCAGUUCAGUGGCCAAGCGAAAGCGAUAAGCCAUCCACCUGGGGAGUACGACCGCAAGGUUGAAACUCAAAUGAAUUGGCGGGG